CUCGGAUCCGGUGCGCGCGUGCGCGCUCGCGCUUAGGCCGGCGGCGACGCUUCUUCGAGAACUUGGGGGGCCGAGAAACACGAGCCCGAGAUGGCGCUCCCCACGCUGCCCUCUUACUGGUGCAGCGGGAGACCCCAGGACCAGCAGGUCGCACGCCAGCGCCAGCGAGAGCAGGAGGCCCAGCUUCGCCUGCAGUGGGAAGAGAACAGCCGUUAUUUCAGGAUUUCGGACAUCCACAGCUCCAAACAGGCCGAAUGGAGCUCCGAGACCUCCUAUCGGCGGAGCAUGCAUGCGUACCAGCGUGAGAAGCUGAGGGAGGAGAAGAGGAUGAGUCUGGAGGUCCGGCGUGAGAGACUCAGGCAGCUGGUGCUGGAGGAGCAGGACCUGCUGGCCGCUGAGCUGGAGGAGCUGAGGCUGAGCAUGAGCCUGCGGGAGCGAAGAAUCCGGGAACAGCACCGGGAUCUGAAGUCAGCCCGAGAGGAACAAAGGAAACUGAUUGCUGAACAACUCUUAUAUGAACACUGGAAAAAAAACAAUCCCAAACUUCGAGAGAUUGAGUUGGACCUUCACAAGAAGCACGUGAUAGAUUCCUGGGCAACACAGAAAGAAGAAAAAAAACAGCAAGAAGCCACGGAGCAGCAGGAGAAGAAGCGGUUUGAAAAUGAGUAUGAAGCAGCGCGCAGGGAGGCGAUGGAGCGGCUGAGAGCGGAGGCGGAGCGGAGGCAGCAGGAAGAUAAACUGCAGGCCGAGGCGCUGUGCCAGCAGAUGGAGGAGCUCAAGCAGAAGGAGAUGGAGGCAACCAAGCUGAAGAAGGAACAGGAGAACCUGCUGAAGCAGCGCUGGGAGCUGGAGAAGCUGGAGGAGGAGAGGAAGCAGAUGGCCGCCCUCCGGCGCAAGGCCGAGCUGGGGCGCUUCCUGAGACAUCAGUACAAUGCGCAGCUGCACAGGCGGACCCAGCAGAUCCAGGAGGAACUGGAGGCAGACGGGCGGAUCCUGCAGGCGCUCCUGGAGAAGGAAGGCGAGCUGCAGCGUGUCGAGCUGGCCAGGCGGGAGCAGGCCCUGGCCGAUGCAGCCUGGAUGAAGCAGGUCAUCGAGGAGCAGCUGCAGCUCGAGAAAGCUCGGGAGGCAGAGCUGCAGCUGCUGCUGAGGGAGGAGGCCAAGGAGAUGUGGGAAAGGAGAGAAGCGGAGUGGGCUCGAGAGCAGAGUGCGAGGGACAGACUGAUGAAUGAGGUUCUCAUGGGGAGGCAGCAGCAGAUACAAGAAAAGAUCGAACAGAACCGGAGGGCACAAGAGGAAACCCUAAAACACAGGGAAAGACUCAUCCAGAGUCUGGAGGAGGCAAAGCAGUCAGCUCAGCGUGCAAAGGAGGAGAAAGAGGAGCUGAAGUCAGCCAGGAAGCAGGAGCUGGAAGCCCAGGUCGCGGAGCGCCAGCUCCAGGCGUGGGAAGCAGCCCAGCAGGCGGAGGCGGAAGAGGAGGAGGUCCAGCGGGCAGAUCAGCUCUCGGAUGCCCUGUUGCAGCAGGAGGCGAAGGCCAUGGCUGAGGAGGGCUACCGGCCCAAGGCUUUGCAAAGACGGAGAGCCUGACUGCUGAUGUUGCCCCUGAAGAAUGAAGGCCAUAGCUAGUGAGAAGUGACCGUGGGACCAGGUGGAGCCAGCCUUAUGGACACCCCAGAAUUGCCUGGGACUGACGUUGAGCACAGAGGAGCAUGCCGGACUUGAUAGACAGCUCCAGACAUCUGCACAGUGCUUGUUCUGGCCAGGGCUCAGGGCAGGACAUCGUGGUCCAGCGGGAUGUGAAGAUGCCAUAGGUGCCCGGUGAGAUGCCAUAGGCGCCCGGUGAGAGCCCUCCCUGCCUUCCUCACCCAGACCCACGUUUGCAGCACUGUCCAGAGGUCGUCCAUGCUUUCUACAUAGACUUCAGAGCUACCGAGAACAAGUUGUAUUCCCGGCACAGGAUAUGUAGGUUCCCUGUACAUGUCAGCUCUAGGGAGGACCAGUCACAGAGAGGAGGGACCUUUCGGGUUUUAAAGUUGCCAUUUAAUAAGUUAUUCUAUUGAAGGCAGACUCGCAGGGUCUUGGUGUAGUUAUUUCAGGUCAUUAGCUGCGUAGCCCCAAAGGAAGAGCCCGGCAGUCUGGGCUUCAUCUGCCGUGCGUUCUGCAAAGACCCGGCAAAGGAGCUUCUUGUUCUGCAGUGUUGUGAGAAUUCCCAUGGGGGGCCGGGGCGUAGUUCAGUGUGGAACGCUUCCCUAGCACCUGUCUGGUCCUCAUCCCAGCCCCAGCCCCACUAAGAAGAAAAGAAGCCCAGAGCAUUAGAACACAUGUCGUCAAGGGCACCUGGCUGGCUAGCCUGGUAAAGGCAGGGGCGUGACUAGGACCUCCAGAGUCCAGGGCAGGCCUGUGUGCAGCCCUGUGGGAAUUAUGUGCCCAGAGGAGCAUGCGACCCUGGAGAAAUGGAAUCAAUCACAGCUGACCCCAUUUCCCCCACUGUUGGGUCCCAUGUGACAGGCCCGACUCACCUCUGCCCACAGCUGUGGCUCCUUGCAGCAACAGUUGUUAGGUUUAUGACUUGUACUUUCCCACGCCCUUCCUCUGGGGUUCCGCACCUCAGUAAACUCCAGCCAGUUGUAGGGUCUCGUCUCUGGUUAUGGAAACCCAGAGCUUAUGAAACAGCCCAGGUCUGUGGGCCGCGUCCCUUUCCUCCUCCACUGUGGAACCCCAGCCCAGCCUCUUCACUUCCCACUGGAGCUCUCGGAUGUGGUCCCCGAGCAGCAUUUCCAUUAGGCACUUUUCAGAUGCUCACUAAUGUGAAAGAAAGCUCAGGCUGUCACUGCUGCCGGUGGGUGCUGGGCAGGUUGAUGCGUACAGCCCACAUCACGGGUCUUCCACUGGUCACAUCGCACAGGCUACUCUCACUUUUCUUGUGAACAUGGUACUCUCUCCCCUCCUGUUUUUCAAGACAGGGUUUCUCUGUGUAGCCCUGGCUGUCCUGGAACUCUUUGUAGUCCAGUCUGGCCUCGAACUCAGAGAUCCACCUGCCUUUGCCUCCCGAGUGCUGGCAUUAAAGGUGUGCGGCACUCUGCCCACAUGGCUUUUCCCUCUUAUUUCUCCCGGAACCACAGAAAAUCACUAGUGGUUGCACACUGCUCCAGGGCAGAACCCGGUGGACAGACACUGCACACAGGUAUCGAAGGUUUACUGGACAAGCAUUGUUUUUCUGGCAUUAAAAUGAUGUCCCACUAGUU